rnacentral:rRNA from 1 species
AUUGAACGCUGGCGGCAUGCCUUACACAUGCAAGUCGAACGGUAAUAGGUCUUCGGAUGCUGACGAGUGGCGAACGGGUGAGUAAUACAUCGGAACGUGCCUAGUAGUGGGGGAUAACUACUCGAAAGAGUGGCUAAUACCGCAUGAGAUCUACGGAUGAAAGCAGGGGAUCGCAAGACCUUGUGCUACUAGAGCGGCCGAUGGCAGAUUAGGUAGUUGGUGGGAUAAAAGCUUACCAAGCCGACGAUCUGUAGCUGGUCUGAGAGGACGAUCAGCGACACUGGGACUGAGACACGGCCCAGACUCCUACGGGAGGCAGCAGUGGGGAAUUUUGGACAAUGGGCGCAAGCCUGAUCCAGCAAUGCCGCGUGCAGGAUGAAGGCCUUCGGGUUGUAAACUGCUUUUGUACGGAACGAAAAGCCCCGGGUUAAUACCCUGGGGUCAUGACGGUACCGUAAGAAUAAGCACCGGCUAACUACGUGCCAGCCGCCGCCGUAA